GCCAGGGUACUACGAGCAAAGCUUAAAACCCAAAGGACUUGACGGUGCCCCACAUCCCCCUAGAGGAGCCUGUCCUGUAAUCGAUACCCCCCGUUUAACCUCACCACUUCUAGCUACUCAGCUUGUAUACUUCCGUCGCCAGCUUACCGCAUGAGCGAAAUUCAGUUAGCUAAAUUGGCUAAGUGUCUACCCACACCUCUAAUACGUCAGGUCAAAGUGCAGCAAAUGAAGUGGAAUCAGAUUGGCUACACUUUUUAACAUAAAAGAUUACGAAAGACAAAAAAAUGAAACUUUGUCAGAAGGUGGAUUUAGUAGUAAAAAGAGUUCAUUAUACUCAUUUUAAAUAGGCACUGGAGCGCGU
rnacentral:rRNA from 1 species